rnacentral:sRNA from 2 species
UUGGCAGGGGAGUGUCCUGCGAGUAGUUCUGACCGAGUCCUUGUGCAAGUUCCUCCUCCUCACUGUCCUCAUCGUUGUCCUCGUUGUCGUCGUCGUCGUCGUUGAGGAGAGUAUCACCAGUAUCACCGGGUAAAAUUACGGUAAUUAUCAUACGGCCUAGGAUAGCCGAUCAUCGAUCCGGGCUUUCACGUGAAAAACAACCGGCAUCAGCAUGUGCUUUUCAGUGGCUUCUCACCUCCAAACAAACAGCCUCCACAUGGCGUGUGAUCAGUGUUCGGGGCGAGGGCCUAGCAUCGUCCUUUUCCCUUCCACGGAUGAAAGGACGGAUUGCUGUGAAGAGGAGACUUCUUGAUUGAUUGAUCAACAUUCGCAUUUACAGUUAGUUAGUGCUCACCAACAGCAACCGAUCGAUCCUACAACACUGAAUUCCCGCGGUGGCUGGUCCACGCGAAUCAGAGCGGGAGCAAGACCAUUUGUAUCAACACCAAGGUUCCGUCUAAUGAACAUUAUAUUGAGCGGCGAAGGAGGUUAUUCCAUGGAUGCUCUAUGGGUCUGAUAUUGUUAAUAAUGGCCACUAAGCAAAAUCGGUGAAAUGAAGUUUCAUAUCCUUCAGCGGAUGAACAUAUAUGGAUGAACCCUUGAACCGAAUCCUCAACUCCUCCACUGGCUCUCACCAGAUGCGAAAUCGUCGGGAAGUUCAAAGUUGUGUUGAACGCCCCUUCUCUCAACCGCCUUUCGUCUCUCAACCGCGUCGUCUAUCCAGCGUCGAAUGAACCCCUGAAAGGAUAUCGCGUACGCGGAGCAUUGACAUAAGCUCGCUGGCUGUCCAUCGCAGUCGAUGUUGCUGAAUUAAGGUCGCCGAUGUCUUGUGCACGUUCCGCUUGGUGGUCUUCGCUCUGGCGCCGUACGACGUAUAAUUAUCACGUUCAUGGAUGGUUAGAGAAUCGCCCUCUGAUACGUGAGCUGAUGGGCGUAGAAGCUCCCCCAUAUAUUCUACGGCACGCUACGAUCAAUGGUUUGAGAUAAUUCGCUACUUGUAUGCAAAGUAAGGGCCUUCCAUGUCGUUCGCUCACGGAUCCUGCCUGCUCCUAUCCAAAUAGGAAAACGUAGCAGCUAAUCCGCAAAGAGCAAAGACAUAACUAGGCAAGGAGCGGCAUUUAGAUCCCAUAUUGAUGGACCGCGUAUGUUUGAUGGUACUAUUAUCCAAGAGGUACUCGGUAAGCCUAAACACCGCGAGAAGGACAAUAGGCAAUUAAUAUUAAAACUCAAGGUAGAGAGUCUCGAAUAAAAUAUGCACGGAUAUCAAUCUCGAAUUUUUGAUAGCUAUUGAGUUGCAGGACAUCAACGGUAUCUUAACAACGCAAUUAAUUUAGUCAAGUACAUAAUUUGAGCAAGGAUGAAAGUGUAUGCUGAAUAAUGCCAAUUUCCAAAAGGAUAGUUAUAUGUACCAAUUAACAUGGUUUAUCAUGUAUGUAAUCGUGGGAGUGGUCACUCAGGUCGCAAGAAAGUUUUCCAAAAUGGUGCAUCUAGCUUAAAAAAAGUCGAAUGAUUAUAAAAUUAACCCACG